GACGAACGCUGGCGGCGUGCUUAACACAUGCAAGUCGAACGAAGAGCGAUGGAAGCUUGCUUCUAUCAAUCUUAGUGGCGAACGGGUGAGUAACGCGUAAUCAACCUGCCCUUCUGAGGGGGACAACAGUUGGAAACGACUGCUAAUACCGCAUACGAUCUGACCUCGGCAUCGAGGAUAGAUGAAAGGUGGCCUCUAUUUAUAAGCUAUCACUGAAGGAGGGGAUUGCGUCUGAUUAGCUAGUUGGAGGGGUAACGGCCCACCAAGGCGAUGAUCAGUAGCCGGUCUGAGAGGAUGAACGGCCACAUUGGGACUGAGACACGGCCCAGACUCCUACGGGAGGCAGCAGUGGGGAAUCUUCCGCAAUGGACGAAAGUCUGACGGAGCAACGCCGCGUGAGUGAUGACGGCCUUCGGGUUGUAAAGCUCUGUUAAUCGGGACGAAAGGCCUUCUUGCGAAUAGUUAGAAGGAUUGACGGUACCGGAAUAGAAAGCCACGGCUAACUACGUG
rnacentral:rRNA from 1 species